GGAAAUGUAACAAGUGAAAAUUGAAGGCUAAUUAUCUUCAGGCAGCACUGGUCAGGAGCAGGUGUGAGGAGUUACCUGGGGGCAGACAGAUCCCUCAACUCUGUCAUACUGGCCUAUGACUGCAUCUCAUGCAUCAUGGUGCACUGAGCGAGGAGGAAACAUCAGGGGCUUCGCCAUACUUCAGUCUGCAUCCAUUUAAAGUCCUGAGGGAGGGAAGCCCGCACAGUCCUCUUGUUCUUUACAUCUGGCCCUGCAAGCAAGCUGAGUUUCAAGCCUACACUAGCUGGUCUCCUCUGUGCAAUAAAACCUGCAACACUGGCACCUGGUUCACACACCUACACUGUUUGUUGCUUUCCUCCUCCUCCUCUUCCCCCUGUACGUUUUC